GACGAACGCUGGCGGCGUGCUUAACACAUGCAAGUCGAACGCUGAAGCUCAGCUUUUGUUGGGUGGAUGAGUGGCGAACGGGUGAGUAACACGUGAGUAACCUGCCUCCUCUUUGGGAUAACGCCCGGAAACGGGUGCUAAUACUGGAUAUUCACUGGUCUUCGCAUGGGGGUUGGUGGAAAGGGUUUUUCUGGUGGGGGAUGGGCUCGCGGCCUAUCAGCUUGUUGGUGGGGUGAUGGCCUACCAAGGCUUUGACGGGUAGCCGGCCUGAGAGGGUGACCGGUCACAUUGGGACUGAGAUACGGCCCAGACUCCUACGGGAGGCAGCAGUGGGGAAUAUUGCACAAUGGGCGCAAGCCUGAUGCAGCGACGCCGCGUGAGGGAUGGAGGCCUUCGGGUUGUGAACCUCUUUCGCUCAUGGUCAAGCCGCAACAAUGGUUGUGGUGAGGGUAGUGGGUAAAGAAGCGCCGGCUAACUACGUG
rnacentral:rRNA from 1 species